rnacentral:rRNA from 1 species
AGCGAACGCUGGCGGCAGGCUUAACACAUGCAAGUCGAGCGGGCAUCCUUGUGGUGUCAGCGGCAGACGGGUGAGUAACGCGUGGGAACGUGCCCUUCGGUUCGGAAUAACUCAGGGAAACUUGAGCUAAUACCGGAUACGUGCGAGAGCAGAAAGGUUUAUCUGCCGAAGGAUCGGCCCGCGUCUGAUUAGCUAGUUGGUGAGGUUAUGGCUCACCAAGGCGACGAUCAGUAGCUGGUCUGAGAGGAUGAUCAGCCACACUGGGACUGAGACACGGCCCAGACUCCUACGGGAGGCAGCAGGGGGGAAUAUUGGACAAUGGGGGCAACCCUGAUCCAGCCAUGCCGCGUGAGUGAUGACGGCCUUAGGGUUGUAAAGCUCUUUUCUCCGGGACGAUAAUGACGGUACCGGAGGAAUAAGCCCCGGCUAACUUCGU